rnacentral:rRNA from 1 species
GACGAACGCUGGCGGCGUGCUUAACACAUGCAAGUCGAGCGGAGCGGCAAACGGGUGCGUAACGCGUGAGUAACUGCCCCCCCCCCUGGGAUUACAGUUAGAAACGGCUGCUAAUACCGGUUAGUGGGGGAUGACUCGCGUCCUAUCAGCUUGUUGGUGGGGUAGUGGCCUACCAAGGCGACGACGGGUGGCCGGCCUGGGCGGGCGACCGGCCACAUUGGGCUGGGAUAGGACCCCAACUCAUACGGGAGGCAGCGGUGGGGGAUAGUGCCCAAUAGGGGAGACCCUGAUGCAGCGACGCCGCGUGCGGGAGGACGGCCUUCGGGUUGUAAACCGCUUUCAGCCAUGACGCGGUAGUGGCAGAAGAAGCACCGGCUAACUACGUGCCAGCAGCCGCGGUAAUAC